UCCAGACUCCUACGGGAGGCAGCAGUGGGGAAUAUUGGGCAAUGGAGGCAACUCUGACCCAGCAACGCCGCGUGAGUGAUGAAGGUCUUCGGAUUGUAAAACUCUUUAAGUGGGGACGAAGAAAGUGACUGUACCCACAGAAUAAGCCUCGGCUAACUACGUGCCAGCAGCCGCGGUAAUACGUAGGGAGCAAGCGUUGUCCGGAUUUACUGGGUGUAAAGGGUGCGUAGGCGGCCUUGCAAGUCAGAAGUGAAAUCCAUGGGCUUAACCCGUGAACUGCUUUUGAAACUGUAGGGCUUGAGUGAAGUAGAGGCAGGCGGAAUUCCCGGUGUAGCGGUGAAAUGCGUAGAGAUCGGGAGGAACACCAGUGGCGAAGGCGGCCUGCUGGGCUUUAACUGACGCUGAAGCACGAAAGCGUGGGUAGCAAACAGGAUUAGAUACCCGGGUAGAG
rnacentral:rRNA from 1 species